CAUGCCGCGUGAGUGAAGAAGGCCUUCGGGUUGUAAAGCUCUUUCGGCCGGGAAGAAAUCGCAUGGGUUAAUACCCUGUGUGGAUGACGGUACCGGAAUAAGAAGCACCGGCUAACUACGUGCCAGCAGCCGCGGUAAUACGUAGGGUGCGAGCGUUAAUCGGAAUUACUGGGCGUAAAGCGUGCGCAGGCGGUUUUGUAAGACAGGCGUGAAAUCCCCGGGCUUAACCUGGGAACUGCGCUUGUGACUGCMAGGCUAGAGUACGGCAGAGGGGGGUGGAAUUCCACGUGUAGCAGUGAAAUGCGUAGAGAUGUGGAGGAACACCAAUGGCGAAGGCAGCCCCCUGGGUCGAUACUGACGCUCAUGCACGAAAGCGUGGGUAGCAAACAGGAUUAGAUACCCUGGUAGUCCACGCCCUAAACUAUGUCAACUAGGUGUUGGGUGGGUAAAACCAUUUAGUACCGUAGCUAACGCGUG
rnacentral:rRNA from 1 species